UAAAGUAAAUGAGAUGGCAGCCCAUCCCUUUCAGAAUACAAACUCAUUGUAGUUUGAAAGGGAUGGGAGGAAAGUCCGGGCACCAAAGAGCAAAAUGCUCGUGAAAAUGAGCGGGCAGCGAUGUUCGAGAACAGCGCAACAGAAAAUAUACCGCUAAUCCAGUCCUUUCUUCGGAAAGAGCUGGACAGUAAGGUUGAAAUCGUGAGGUAAGAGCUCACGCGUUCGGAUGGCAACAUCCGUCUGUGGCAAGCCUCGUUUGGUGCAAGUGAAGUGGAUCAGACACUUUGUCUAGUUUACUAGAGAUAUUCUGCUCGAAUAGAAGUGAAUGGUCUUCACGCUUAGAUAGAUUGUCAUCAUCCAGCCCUUUCGCAAGAAAGAGCUGGGGACAGAACCCGGCUUACGGUUUACUUUGACGC
rnacentral:RNase_P_RNA from 1 species